GCAGACUUGGCUUGUGACUCUACAUCACUUUCACCCUUACUGUGUGGGUAUCGGAUCAUAGCCCAGGCUGUAAAAUGGCACAGAACAUGGCAAAGUGCCCUGGCUGCAUUCCUGCUGCUUUCCCUGAGUGCCCUGCACCCCUGCCCUAAAGACGCCUUCUACUGCUGUUCAACAGCAAGGACAUGAGGAUGCCUGUGCUGGGUGGGAAAAAACCCUUUCUUCUGCUUACAAAGAAAAGUUAGCUCGGAAUCGCUUAAUUGCAUCUGGACAUUAGUCAAUCGAAGGAAUCUGCCAGCAGCAGAAAUUCUGAAGGACCUGUGUCAGAACAGUCAUAGCUGUGAUCUUCUGAACGCUCCUUUAGAGGGUUCUGCAGACUGGAAUUGGAGCCCCACUUCAAAAAAAUGACUAUGACUGAAUCUGAUGCAAAGCAUCUACAAACUUCAUCCUUCAUGUUUUUAACUACCAAGAAAUGGAAACUGCAACAUUUCAAACAGGUUAAU